rnacentral:rRNA from 1 species
GAUGAACGCUAGCGACAGGCCUAACACAUGCAAGUCGAGGGGCAGCACAUGAGUAGCAAUACGAUGGUGGCGACCGGCGCACGGGUGAGUAACACGUAUGCAACCUGCCUUCUACUAUGGGAUAACCCGUUGAAAGACGGACUAAUACCGUAUAAUACAGGGGCUCCGCAUGGAGAUAUUUGUUAAAGAUUUAUUGGUAGAAGAUGGGCAUGCGUAUGAUUAGAUAGUUGGUGAGGUAACGGCUCACCAAGUCAACGAUCAUUAGGGGUUCUGAGAGGAAGGUCCCCCACACUGGUACUGAGACACGGACCAGACUCCUACGGGAGGCAGCAGUGAGGAAUAUUGGUCAAUAGACGAGAGUCUGAACCAGCCAAGUCGCGUGAAGGAAGACGGUUCUAUGAAUUGUAAACUUCUUUUGUGCAGGAAUAAAGUGGGUUACGUGUAACCUUUUGUAUGUACUGUACGAAUAAGGAUCGGCUAACUCCGUGCCAGCAGCCGCAGUAAAAC